AUUGAACGCUGGCGGCAGGCCUAACACAUGCAAGUCGAACGGUAACAGGAAGCAGCUUGCUGCUUUGCUGACGAGUGGCGGACGGGUGAGUAAUGUCUGGGAAACUGCCCGAUGGAGGGGGAUAACUACUGGAAACGGUAGCUAAUACCGCAUAACGUCGCAAGACCAAAGAGGGGGACCUUAGGGCCUCUUGCCAUCGGAUGUGCCCAGAUGGGAUUAGCUAGUAGGUGGGGUAACGGCUCACCUAGGCGACGAUCCCUAGCUGGUCUGAGAGGAUGACCAGCCACACUGGAACUGAGACACGGUCCAGACUCCUACGGGAGGCAGCAGUGGGGAAUAUUGCACAAUGGGCGCAAGCCUGAUGCAGCCAUGCCGCGUGUAUGAAGAAGGCCUUCGGGUUGUAAAGUACUUUCAGCGGGGAGGAAGGGAGUAAAGUUAAUACCUUUGCUCAUUGACGUUACCCUCAGAAGAAGCACCGGCUAACUCCGUG
rnacentral:rRNA from 1 species